UACGGGGGGGGCAAGCGUUGUUCGGAAUUACUGGGCGUAAAGGGCUCGUAGGUGGCCAACUAAGUCGGACGUGAAAUCCCUCGGCUUAACCGGGGAACUGCGUCUGAUACUGGAUGGCUUGAGUUCGGGAGAGGGAUGCGGAAUUCCAGGUGUAGCGGUGAAAUGCGCAGAUAUCAGGAAGAACACCCGUGGCGAAGGCGGCUCUCUGGGACGGUACUGACGCUGAGACGCGAAAGCGUGGGGAGCGAACAGG
rnacentral:rRNA from 1 species